rnacentral:rRNA from 1 species
UGCCAGCCGCCGCGGUAAUACUUAAGGUGCAAGCGUUAAUCGGAAUCACUGGGCGUAAAGCGCUCGUAGGUGGCUUUGUAAGUCAGAUGUGAAAUCCCACGGCUCAACCGUGGAAUUGCAUUUGAUACUGCAUCGCUAGAGUAUAGGAGAGGGAAGUGGAAUUUCUGUUGUAGGAGUGAACUCCGUAGAGAUCAAAAGGAACACCGGUGGCGAAGGCGACUUCCUGGACUAUUACUUACACUGAGGAGCCGAAGCUUGGUUAGCAAACAGGAUUAGAUC